UCCGGCCCUGCAUAUCACCCUGUAACUCUAGACCGGUUACUCACUGAAGCUAAGCAGGGGUGAGCCUGGUCAGUACCUGGAUGGUAGACCACAUGAGAAAAUAGGUUGCUGUUGGAA
ensembl:rRNA 5S_rRNA 5S ribosomal RNA